AGCGAACGCUGGCGGCAGGCCUAACACAUGCAAGUCGAACGAACCUUUCGGGGUUAGUGGCGGACGGGUGAGUAACACGUGGGAACGUGCCUUUAGGUUCGGAAUAACUCAGGGAAACUUGUGCUAAUACCGAAUGUGCCCUUCGGGGGAAAGAUUUAUCGCCUUUAGAGCGGCCCGCGUCUGAUUAGCUAGUUGGUUGAGGUAAUGGCUCACCAAGGCGACGAUCAGUAGCUGGUCUGAGAGGAUGAUCAGCCACAUUGGGACUGAGACACGGCCCAAACUCCUACGGGAGGCAGCAGUGGGGAAUCUUGCGCAAUGGGCGAAAGCCUGACGCAGCCAUGCCGCGGGAAUGAUGAAGGUCUUAGGAUUGUAAAAUUCUUUCACCGGGGACGAUAAUGACGGUACCCGGAGAAGAAGCCCCGGCUAACUUCGU
rnacentral:rRNA from 1 species